CUUAGAAAACCUAACCGUAACUGAGGCAUGUGUGGGGCAGGACAUUCUCACCUGCAAGAGAGCUGAAUAAAAGCUGCCAUGUUACCAGGGCAGUCAUUCAUUUGCUUCUAAAAGCAAAGCUUGGAAACAAACAUUAUACAAAUAACACUGUUAGGCAUUACAUUUUGUUGAGCAGCGGGUGCCAAUAGUAUCGUGUUUUAGUAUUAUAACCACAGUGACAUUAACACUGCAAAUGUUUGAACAGUGAGUAAUAUUUACUUGUUACGUUCUGUCUGAAGAGAUAUUUGGGGAAUUCUUGGCCGUUUUCUUGUUUAAAAAUGUAAAUACUGUGUUUCUAACAAGUAAUAAGUAAUAUUUUCCUAUUUUUGCCUCUCUUUUUGGUGAGGUAAUUCAGUAACAUGGGCUUUAAAACAAGAUUUUUUAGCUCUGGUUAAUAGCUUUAUUUUGGAAACCUUUGGAGAUAGAAGGGUCACAUGGAACCAUCUUCGGCCUGUGGUUAUAAAGAAAAAUAUAUUUCAGCCCCCGUCAAUCAUUGCUAAUUUUACCCUUUACUUUGUAUUCAUCUCUGAAGCGCCCGUUGUGAUUCUGGGUAGGAAUAAGAUAAAACAAAUGAAAUGGAACUUGAAGUGAAAUUACAUUUGAACUCUUACCGUGGUUCAGCUACCUCUUUCUGGAAAAUGGAUUUUUUUUCUUUUUUCUUUUUUUUCCAGUUCAGAUUUGUUACAUUCGAGAUGUUUAUUGAAAGUCUAGCAAAAGCUUGUCUUAGGACGAACUAACCGAUGUCAUUUGCAUUGAUACUUCGUGUGAUUAGUGAUUUUGCUCAUUAAAUACUGUUUAUGUUGACUCUUCCGUGUGUGUUGGUGACUGAGUUUAUUUUUAGUACUCUUUGUCCUGGUUUUCUAUCCUGAGGUUUGUGGCAAGUGUUGACGUUGGCAUGUAUCCACUGGCCUGUGACUCGUCGGCGGUCAGACAGGGUUUUGCAAAACUUUGUCCGGUGGAUUCCUAGCCCACGGAGCAUGUGGAAAUCUUGGUUUUCCCCGACGAAAAAUAAAUCUGGUUCCUCCCCAAUCCGAUGCCUUCCA
rnacentral:lncRNA from 1 species